rnacentral:lncRNA from 1 species
AUGACUCAGUUCAUAUGAUAUACUAUGUACUGUGUAUACUUGGGAUUAGUUUAAAUCACACCCUUUUAAUUCACAAGCUUAACAUUCUUACUUUUUGUCUGUCCUUAAGCAAAAUAUGUGAUGUAAUGUAUAUGCCUCAUCAGAGUUUCAUAUCCAUUUUCAAAUUAUUUUUACACAUUUUCUGCUCCACCAUGCAUAUGACCAUUAAAAAAACAAUUGUGAAAUUAAAAUUCACCAAAAUAUCAAAACAGUGCUUCAACUGCAAUGACAUCAGCAUGA